rnacentral:rRNA from 1 species
UACGGAGGAUGCGAGCGUUAUCCGGAUUUAUUGGGUUUAAAGGGUGCGUAGGCGGACGCUUAAGUCAGCGGUAAAAUUGCGGGGCUCAACCUCGUCGGGCCGUUGAAACUGGGUGCCUUGAGUGGGCGAGAAGUACGCGGAAUGCGUGGUGUAGCGGUGAAAUGCAUAGAUAUCACGCAGAACUCCGAUUGCGAAGGCAGCGUACCGGCGCCCAACUGACGCUGAAGCACGAAGGCGUGGGUAUCGAACAGG